rnacentral:rRNA from 1 species
UACGUAGGGUGCGAGCGUUAAUCGGAAUUACUGGGCGUAAAGCGUGCGCAGGCGGUUUUGUAAGCCAGAUGUGAAAUCCCCGGGCUUAACCUGGGAAUGGCAUUUGGGACUGCAAAGCUUGAGUGUGGCAGAGGGGACUGGAAUUCCUGGUGUAGCGGUGGAAUGCGCAGAUAUCAGGAGGAACACCGGUGGCGAAGGCGGGAUCCUGGGCCAGUACUGACGCUGAGGAGCGAAAGCGUGGGGAGCAAACAGG